rnacentral:misc_RNA from 1 species
UGACAUGGGAACCUUAGUGG